rnacentral:rRNA from 1 species
CCUGAGAAACGGCUACCACAUCCAAGGAAGGCAGCAGGCACGCAAAUUACCCACUCCCGGCACGGGGAGGUAGUGACAAAAAAUAACGAUACGGGACUCAUCCGAGGCCCCGUAAUCGGAAUGAGAACACCCUAAAUCCUUUAACGAGGAUCUAUUGGAGGGCAAGUCUGGUGCCAGCAGCCGCGUAAUUCCAGCUCCAAUAGCGUAUAUUAAAGUUGUUGCGGUUANNNNNNNCUAGUUGGUUCUGCGUGCCACGCUGUCGGUUCACCGCCUGUCGGUGCAACUGGCAUGCCGUGGCAUGUCCUGUCGGUGGCCGACGGGCUUCGCGGCGCGCCCCACUCGCUCAGGCGUGUGGGUGUACGCGCCGUGUCGUCCUCGUUGGCCGGCUCAAUCCUACCGCGGUGCUCUUAAACGAGUGUCGAGGUAGGCCGACACUGUUUACUUUGAACAAAUUAGAGUGCUUAAAGCAGGCUCUGAAAGCAGCCUGAAUAGUGGUGCAUGGAAUAAUGGAACAGGACCUUGGUUCUAUUUUGUUGGUUUACGGAAUCCAAGGUAAUGAUCAAUAAGGACAGGCGGGGGCAUUCGUAUUGCGACUUGGCAAAUGCUUUCGCGGUGAAAUUCUUGGACCGUCGCAAGACGAACUAAAGCGAAAGCAUUUGCCAAGUAUGUCUUAAUUGAUCAAGAACGCACGUUAGAGGUUCGAAGGCGAUCAGAUACUGCCCUAGUUCUAACCAUAAACGAUGCCAGCCAGCGAUCCGCCGAUGUUCCUCCGAUGACUCGGCGGGGAGCUUCCGGGAAACCAAAGCUUUUGGGUUCCGGGGGAAGUAUGGUUGCAAAGCUGAAACUUAAAGGAAUUGACGGAAGGGCACCACCAGGGGUGGAGCCUGCGGCUUAAUUUGACUCAACACGGGAGACCUCACCAGGCCCGGACAUUGGAAGGAUUGACAGAUCGAUAGCUCUUUCUCGAUUCAGUGGGUAGUGGUGCAUGGCCGUUCUUAGUUGGUGGACUGAUUUGUCUGGUUAAUUCCGAUAACGAACGAGACUC